rnacentral:pre_miRNA from 1 species
CCCCAAACCCAGGUCUGCUGACUCCUAGUCCAGUGCUUGUGAUGGCUGGUGGGCCCUGAACUAGGGGUCUGGAGGCCUGGGUUUGCAUUUC